rnacentral:rRNA from 1 species
AUGAACGCUGGCGGCGUGCUUAACAUAUGCAAGUCGCACGAUGAAGCCCAGCUUGCUGGGUGGAUUAGUGGCGAACGGGUGAGUAACACGUGAGUAACCUGCCCUUGACUCUGGGAUAAGCCUGGGAAACUGGGUCUAAUACUGGAUAUGACUUCUCAUCGCAUGGUGGGGGGUGGAAAGAUUUAUUGGUCUUGGAUGGACUCGCGGCCUAUCAGCUUGUUGGUGAGGUAAUGGCUCACCAAGGCGACGACGGGUAGCCGGCCUGAGAGGGUGACCGGCCACACUGGGACUGAGACACGGCCCAGACUCCUACGGGAGGCAGCAGUGGGGAAUAUUGCACAAUGGGCGCAAGCCUGAUGCAGCGACGCCGCGUGAGGGAUGACGGCCUUCGGGUUGUAAACCUCUUUCAGUAGGGAAGAAGCGAGAGUGACGGUACCUGCAGAAGAAGCGCCGGCUAACUACGUG